AUUAGGACCUGUUAGCCAAACCCAAAUAUGACCUAGCGCCUCAUCUCACUGGUGUUUGACAAGAGGAUUUCAACUCAAGCUGCUUCUGCCCUUUGUGGGGCCGGGGGUGACAGAGGGCACAGAGCCAGGAAGCUGCAGAGUUCAUUGUGGGGAAGAAGAGUCCAACAAAAUAUUGGAACAACUGGAUUUCCACGUGCGAAGCAUGAACUUGGACCCUUAACGCACACCACAUGCAAAAAUCACCUCAGAGUCACCUCACAGUGGAUCAUAGACCUAAAUGAAUUCCCUGGAGGUCCAAUGGUUAAGAUUUCGCUUUCCAAUGUGUGUGUGUGGAGGGGGUGGUGAGGGUUGAUCCCUGGUCAGGGAGCUAAGACCUCACAGUUCCUUGCAGUGAAAAGACCCAAAACAUAAAGCAGAAUUAAUGUUGUAGCAAAUUCAACAAAGACUUUAAAAAUGGUCCACAUCAAAGAAAUUCUAAUAAAAUUUGGCUAAGAAUUUGAAUCGAUAUUUCUCCAAAGAAAGAUAAUAUAAAUGGUCAAGAAGCACAUGAAACGAAUGCUCAAUACUACUAGUUAUUAGAUACAAAUCAAAAGCACAGUGAGAUACCACUUCACAUUCAUGAGAAUAAUGGCUAUUCUCAAAAGACAAAGGUGGAAAAAUAACCCUGUUGCAGAAAAGAAAUAUGGUGCAGUCACUUGGGUCCUGAAACUGUUAAAUGUGUAUUUUACUUACCUUGUGAUUCAUUGAUUCCACUCGUUUAUACCCAGCAGAAAUGUUCUUCAGCUUAUGAAAGGACAGACAAAAUAUGGUGUAUCCAUGUAACUGAAUAGUAUUUAGCAAUGGGAAUGACGUACAGACACACGACACAAUAUGCCAAGUGAAGCCAAUCAUGUAUGAUUCCAUUUAUAGUCAAUAGGCAAAUUAGCCAAAUCAGUAGAAAUAGAAAGUAGAUUUCUGUUUUCUAGAAAUAGAAAAUAGACUGAACAACAAAGGCCAGCAAUGGCAGAUUGGGGGGAAAGUUGGGUUUGAGCUUAGUAGCUGUAUAUACAAAGCCUGUGAAAAGAUUGAAUGCAAGACAUAAUCAGAAAGGCAGGAUGGGCCUGGGCCACCAGGGAAGCCCAGAAAGUAGAUUAGUUGUUGCCAGCACCUGGGAAAAGUGGAGAAUGGGGGCUAAUUUCUUAUGGGUUCCAAGUUUCUUUUGAGGGUGAUGAAAAUGUUCUGAAGUUGGAUAUUGCUGAUGGUUACGAAAUUCGAUGAAUAUUCUAAAAGCCACUGAAUCGUAUACUCUAAAAAGAUGAAGUUUAUGGUACAUGAAUGUUAAUCUCAAUACCCAUGUUAUUUUUUUAAAGAAAUAACUAUUGCACAAGGUAUUUUGGUGAUAAAUACCCAAAAGAAUUUCAUGUAAUGAAGGCAUGAUCCCUAAGUCAAGUGGUGGGUUCAGUUCAGUUGCUCAGUUGUGUCUGACUCUUUGCAACCCCACGGACAACAGCACGACAGGCCUCCCUGUCACCAACUCCUG